rnacentral:rRNA from 1 species
UACAGAGGUCCCAAGCGUUGUUCGGAUUCAUUGGGCGUAAAGGGUGCGUAGGUGGCGCCGUAAGUCGGGUGUGAAAUUUCGGAGCUUAACUCCGAAACUGCAUUCGAUACUGCGGUGCUUGAGGACUGGAGAGGAGACUGGAAUUCAUGGUGUAGCAGUGAAAUGCGUAGAGAUCAUGAGGAAGACCAGUGGCGAAGGCGGGUCUCUGGACAGUUCCUGACACUGAGGCACGGAGGCCAGGGGAGCAAACGGG